GUUUGAUCUGACUGUGAGGCUGAAGAGCCACAUGGUGGUUUGUGCUGGGACAGCACCAUGCCUUUCACAUCUUAUCUGUAAGCUUCUGUGUUGUGUCCUGUCAGAGUAGGAAUCCUGUAGUUAGUGUUUUCUUGGGCAUCUGGUGAAAUACAGCUGCAGGUUUUGGGAGUCUGGAGCUGUUAUUUAGCUUUUAUCACAAGCUGUCACUUCAGUUUCAAAGUUGACUAGUGGAGAAAAGUCAUGCAGAGCUUCAAGUUUACGAAGUCCUGCAUAACUGCUCCUUGUUUUUAUGGCAAGCCUUUUUAUAGGCCUCCCCAUGGUGAUAGAGGGACUUCUGUGCACACAGGUUUGUCAGCUGCACAACCCAGCCCUCCACAGUUGGAGCAUCAGUGCUCAACAAAGUAUAAAACAUUGCAGGGGGCUCUGUGAUUCACCAUGAGAAGCAGAAUUUUUCAAGCAUGCAACUACAGUUCAUGUUAGGUGAAGAGAAAUCAUUCUUGAUUAAACCUUGAAUUGCCUAGGGCUGUAAAACAGUAUUUGAGGUUCCAACACUGUCCUGUCUGAGGUACAGUUUAUACUGACGUGGAUGUUGAGUUUAUUUCUAUAGAUUCUAACAGCAAUUUAUAUGUUUUCUUUUUUUUUAUUAUUAUUUUUAAUCCUAGAAUACUACAUGAACUCAGGCUCCACAGGAACUUGCAAAAUGAGCCCCACCAUAAGAAGGUAUCUCUCAGUUGACAUUGUACAAGUUGAUCUGUAUUGCACCAGCUGUUUUCCCUCAGCUCCCAAGAUGAUCGAACUGUAGCAUGAGGUUAUGUGGAAUCUCCCAGGCCACACCAGCUCAUGCGCUUUGCUGGGGACAAAGCCUGCCAUUUUCUUUGCAGAUUGAAGAAAUCUCCAGCACUGGUGUCCUUGAAACAUUUUUCUAUUGGGCUGAUUCUGAACAAGUAGCUCCUAUAGCCACAGACAUCCUUGUGCUCAAAGGUGAGGAUUGUUUCUGUUGCUGCCCAAGCCAGGAAGCAAAACUUCAUAGUUGCAGUUGUCUUGGCCAAUGCUCCCCACCACCACCACCAGUGGAGGACAAGAACCACUCCCAGUGCUGGUCCACAGCACCAGCUGAUUUGUUUCUGACCUGUUUUCACGUUAUCCUCAAGAGGAGUUGCAGAGAUGUCCAUUACAACAUUAACAUGCAGGCUGCAGUAAUCUGCAGCUGGCUGAAGGAGUCCCAGAUAGCCUGACCCUGAACCACAGCUCAGAUGAAGAAGACAACUAGGAGAUGUAUUAUGGUGUCCUGCAAUGUGAUGUCAGUACUGACAUGUGGUUCACAGGCACAGAGAAGAUCUACAGCUAUAAAUACCCUGUCAUAGCCCUGCUCCCAGGGAGGAAAUACAUCUUCUGAGUCACUGUCUGCAAUGACAGUGGGGACACUGACCCUCUGGAUUCACAGGAGCAGUGGAACAUCUCCAGACACAGAGGUAAGCACAAGACUCAGGGUUAAGCUCAGGCUCCCUGUGUGGCCUUGGGUGUGUCACUACCUGCUCUGUACCUCAGGUGCUCACCUGGGGAUUAGACACAAGAAUACCUCCUCUUCUAUCCCUUCCAUUUGUUGGCAAUCUCUUCAGGACCAGCCUUCCUUUUACUAGAUGUGUAUGUAGCCCAUUACAUAGCACUUUAUACAGAUGCUGCUUAAAUUAAAAUUCAGGACAUCUGUGUGCUCAGAGGGUGAUAUUAUCAUGUCUUGACAUAAGAGAGGACUGGUGUUACAAGUCAAUUUUCUUGUAGCACAUUUUCAGUCUGACUGGGAUCUGUUCCCUAAAUGAGAAGCGAAGAAAUCUGUGACACGUAGGAGACUGUGAAGUCUUUCUGGACCAGAGAGAAAGUCCCUGAGAGCACAUUAAAUUAAACAUUUAGAAGUCAUCCUAUCAGGUAAAUGCCACCUUCUUUGUUCAGUUGCUCCCUACACAUGCCUAAUGAUAACAUGGAUGUUUAAUCAGCAGUACUCCCAAACAUAACUGAACAUGGCCCAGCUCAUCAAGGCAAAAUGGGAAGUGAUCCUUCUGCCCAGUCUGGGGAAUUGCAGAAUGCAGGGACUCUAAAUGGUGAGAUCAAAGACUUUUUUUUGUUUGUUUGGCCUGUGCCUGGUGUAAUAAACAAUAUCGUAAUAUAAAAAAUUAUAAAUUA
ensembl:lncRNA